rnacentral:rRNA from 1 species
AUGAACCUCGCCUCGGCUCCCGGCCCGGAUGGCCUCCCAGUGAAGUUCUUCCAGACCUUCUGGGAGGUGAUCAAACCGGAGGUGAUGGCCCUAUUUGAUGAGUUCAUGGCUGGGACCAUUGACCUCGCCCGACUGAACUAUGGUGUAAUCACUCUCAUCCCUAAGGUGACGGGAGCCUCGAACAUCCGGCAAUUUUGA